CCUACGGGCAGCAGCAGUGGGGGAUAUUGCACAAUGGGGGAAACCCUGAUGCAGCGACGCCGCGUGUGGGAAGACGGUCCUCUGGAUUGUAAACCACUGUCCCCAGGGACGAAGAUGACGGUACCUGGGGAGGAAGCUCCGGCUAACUACGUGCCAGCAGCCGCGGUACUACGUAGGGAGCGAGCGUUGUCCGGAAUUACUGGGUGUAAAGGGAGCGUAGGCGGGACUGCAAGUUGGGUGUCAAAUCUACCGGCUCAACCGGUAGCCGCACUCAAAACUGCAGUUCUUGAGUGAAGUAGAGGCAGGCGGAAUUCCUAGUGUAGCGGUGAAAUGCGUAGAUAUUAGGAGGAACACCAGUGGCGAAGGCGGCCUGCUGGGCUUUUACUGACGCUGAGGCUCGAAAGUGUGGGGAGCAAACAGGAUUAGAUACCCCAGUAGUC
rnacentral:rRNA from 1 species